GAUGAACGCUGGCGGCGUGCCUAAUACAUGCCAGUCGAGCGAACGGACGAGAAGCUUGCUUCUCUGAUGUUAGCGGCGGACGGGUGAGUAACACGUGGAUAACCUACCUAUAAGACUGGGAUAACUUCGGGAAACCGGAGCUAAUACCGGAUGAUAUUUUGAACCGCAUGGUUCAAAAGUGAAAGACGGUCUUGCUGUCACUUAUAGAUGGAUCCGCGCUGCAUUAGCUAGUUGGUAAGGUAACGGCUUACCAAGGCAACGAUGCAUAGCCGACCUGAGAGGGUGAUCGGCCACACUGGAACUGAGACACGGUCCAGACUCCUACGGGAGGCAGCAGUAGGGAAUCUUCCGCAAUGGGCGAAAGCCUGACGGAGCAACGCCGCGUGAGUGAUGAAGGUCUUUGGAUCGUAAAGCUCUGUUAUUAGGGAAGAACAUAUGUGUAAGUAACUGUGCACAUCUUGACGGUACCUAAUCAGAAAGCCACGGCUAACUACGUG
rnacentral:rRNA from 1 species